rnacentral:rRNA from 1 species
CACUCACUAUCCGCCUGGGUACUACGAGGUUUAUCUUAAAUCCCAAAGGACUUGGCUGUGCUUACCAUCCACCUAGAGAAGGCUGUUCUAUAACCGAUAAUCCCCGUUUAACCUCACUCUUUCUUGUUCAUUCCGCCUAUAUACCGCCGUCGUCAGCUCACCCUGUGAAGGCCCUGUAGUAAGCGAAAUUGGUAUGACCCAAAACUCCAGGUCGAGGUGCAGCGUGUGAAAGAGGAAGAAAU